rnacentral:misc_RNA from 1 species
UAAUGAGUGUUUUAUGGCACUUUUUAAAUCCAUAUCCACCUUGUGUGCAAUGUCAGUCGAUCUUCUUCAUGGAGAUCGACCAAACAUCAACCUUUAUCUUUUAACUCUUUGUCUGAAGAAUAUUAUGAAUAAACAAUUCAAAAUA